UACGUAGGUGGCAAGCGUUGUUCGGAAUGACUGGGCGUAAAGGGCGUGUAGGUGGACUGAUCAAGUUCGGGUGUGAAAUAUCCAGGACUCAACCUGGAGGGUGCAUCCGAUACGGUCAGUCUUGAGUGCAGGAGAGGGCAGUGGAAUUCCCAGUGUAGCGGUGAAAUGCGUAGAUAUUGGGAGGAACACCAGUUGCGAAGGCGGGUAACUGGACUGCAACUGACGCUGAGGCGCGAAAGGUGUGGGGAGCAAACCAGGAUUA
rnacentral:rRNA from 1 species